rnacentral:rRNA from 1 species
GCGGCGAAGGGAGAGUAACGCGUAGAUAUCUGCCUCGAGGCCCGGGAUAGCGGCGGGAAACUGCCGGUAAUACCGGAUAACAUCUCCGGAUCAAAGGUGUGAUUCCGCCUCGAGAUGAGUCUGCGUCCUAUUAAUGCUUGUUGGUGUGGUAACGGCGCACCAAGGCGAAGAUGGGUACCGGGUGUGAGAGCAUGGCCCGGCUCACUGGGACUGAGACACUGCCCAGACACCUACGGGUGGCUGCAGUCGAGAAUCUUCGGCAAUGGGCGAAAGCCUGACCGAGCGACGCCGCGUGCGGGAUGAAGGCCCUCGGGUUGUAAACCGCUGUCAGUAGGGAGCAAAUCUCUUGGGGUUAUCCCCUUGAGUUGAGCGAUCUUCAGAGGAAGUACGGGCUAAGUUCGUGCCAGCAGCCGCGGUAAGACGAACCGUACGAACGUUAUUCGGAAUCACUGGGCUUAAAGAGUCCGUAGGCGGCCGUGUAGGUGGGAUGUGAAAGCCCUCGUCUCAACCGAGGAAUUGCGUUCCAAACCACAUGGCUUGAGGAGGAUAGAAGUGAGCGGAACUGAUGGUGGAGCGGUGAAAUGCGUUGAUAUCAUCAGGAACACCAGAGGCGAAGGCGGCUCACUGGGUCUUUUCUGACGCUGAGGAACGAAAGCUAGGGGAGCAAACGGGAUUAGGUACCCCGGUAGUCCUAGCAGUAAACGAUGAGCACUGGAUCGUGGGGGCCUCCACACCGUCUCGGUCGUAGCGAAAGUGUUAAGUGCUCCGCCUGGGAAGUAUGGUCGCAAGCGUGAACUCAUAGGAAUUGACGGGCGCUCACACAAGCGCUGGAGGAUGUGGCUUAAGUCGAGGCUACGCAAAGAACCUUACCUAGUCUUGACAUGUUGUAUAACUUCUGGGAUACCAGGGGGUGCCUUUCGGGGAGCUACAGCGCAGGUGCUGCGUCGUGUUCCUCAACUC